UGGGAUUUCCCCGUACGCCAUGUUGUCUCCAUCUUGGUAGUCUGGUCUAGAAAGACUCGUGUAAAAAAAAACAAAAAACAAAAAACAAAACCAUGUUGCAAAUAGGAAACAAGCUGCCUGUUUAAAGAGGUGAAGACAAGGCGCAUUGGAAUAGACUCGAAGGGUAAGAAGGGUGUUGAGGGAUAGCAUUAUUGAAAAGGUAGACCCUAACAGGUCAGAGUGUUGACAACCAAUGAGGCUAAGAACGAGGCACACACACGAGCAGAGGCCUGUUAGUGGAAAGUAUGAAGUGCACACGGGGACCAACAGAUGAUUCACUGAUUCGUUUUGGGGUCAGGUGAAAUGAAAGGGAACACCUGGAAAAAAAUGAGGGCACAGGUACAGGGCAGUCAGAUUAUGGACAGCCAUGACUGUUCCACUGCUAACGGGAUGCUGGUAUAGUUUUUCGUUUUUGUUUUUCUUUUUUUAACUGGUGUAGGUUUUUAAAACCAGAGGGUCACUGUCAAAAGCGUACCUUAGGAAGGUAACCCUGAUUGCACAGUGGUGGAAGAGCUGGAGGCGUCAAUCCCUGGGACAGAAAAGAUCAUUCAUUCAUUCAGUUCCUAUGACAACAGUAGAGUGUGGAACCAAACAUCUUGGCAUCACCCUUUACUCGCUUCUCCCUCUCAUACUCCACAGUCAAGCCACCUCUGGUGCCAUCUCUGGAAUACAUUCUACACCCAAGUUCUAUACCCUGCUGCCAACACCAAGGACGCAGUAUCCACCUCCUGCCAGGCUGCCUGGUACACACCAGGAUGGGCUACCCAUAAACAAGCCACAGCCUGGAUAUGGCUGCUGGCCUUGGCUGCUGAUCCCUGCCGUCCUUGAUCUGGAUCCUUUCUACCUCUCUGACAUCAUGAGUGUGCUCUCCAUCACUCCCUCUGCUCUAACUACACAGGCCCCUGCUCUGUUCUUCAGACAAGUAUGCUGCUCCCUCCUACCACAGGGCCUUGGCACAUGCGUUCCCCCUCUGCCUGGAAUGCUCUCCCUCUAAUAUUCCUGUGGCUCAUUCCCAGGUUUCAUUCAGUUCUGUGCUCACAUUUCUCAUUUGGAGAAGCCUUCUCUGAUCACCCCUCCUACAGGAAAAAAUCACCCUUAUUCUGUCAUAGUUUGCUGUCUCAUUUCUUGAGGCAUGUAUUAUUAGCUGAUAUGAUUUCACAUUAUUUCUGAUAUGUAUCUAUCCUCCUCUACUCCCCAGGAUAUAAGCUCCAUGAGUCUGUUGUGUUCUCUGCCACAACAGCACUUUUAUCAGUGCCGGGCAAACAGUAGGCACUCGUUCAUGUUUCCUGAAGAAAUAAAUAAUAAUUACAUCAAGUGGU